rnacentral:rRNA from 1 species
UACGGGGGGCAAGCGUUGUUCGGAAUUACUGGGCGUAAAGGGCUCGUAGGUGGCCAACUAAGUCAGACGUGAAAUCCCUCGGCUUAACCGGGGAACUGCGUCUGAUACUGGAUGGCUUGAGUGUGGAGAGGAUGCGGAAUUCCAGGUGUAGCGGUGAAAUGCGUAGAUAUCUGGAGGAACACCGGUGGCGAAGGCGGCAUCCUGGACCACGACUGACGCUGAGUGAGCGAAAGCCAGGGGAGCAA